UGGGGAAUAUUGGACAAUGGGCGCAAGCCUGAUGCAGCCAUGCCGCGUGUAUGAAGAAGGCCUUCGGGUUGUAAAGUACUUUCAGCGGGGAGGAAGGUGUUGUGGUUAAUAACCACAGCAAUUGACGUUACCCGCAGAAGAAGCACAGGCUAACUCCGUGCCAGCAGCCGCGGUAAUACGGAGGGUGCAAGCGUUAAUCGGAAUUACUGGGCGUAAAGCGCACGCAGGCGGUCUGUCAAGUCGGAUGUGAAAUCCCCGGGCUCAACCUGGGAACUGCAUCCGAAACUGGCAGGCUUGAGUCUUGUAGAGGGGGGUAGAAUUCCAGGUGUAGCGGUGAAAUGCGUAGAGAUCUGGAGGAAUACCGGUGGCGAAGGCGGCCCCCUGGACAAAGACUGACGCUCAGGUGCGAAAGCGUGGGGAGCAAACA
rnacentral:rRNA from 1 species